GAGGGAGCAGCCAACGCCUUGUGUGUUGGGAUGAGGGUCACUGGAUGUAACACUGAGCAUCACUGCAUUGGUGGAGGAGGAUUCUUCCCAGAAGGUAA